rnacentral:rRNA from 1 species
UACAGAGGUCUCAAGCGUUGUUCGGAUUCAUUGGGCGUAAAGGGUGCGUAGGUGGCGCCGUAAGUCGGGUGUGAAAUUUCGGAGCUUAACUCCGAAACUGCAUUUGAUACUGCGGUGCUUGAGGACUGGAGAGGAGACUGGAAUUCAUGGUGUAGCAGUGAAAUGCGUAGAGAUCAUGAGGAAGACCAGUGGCGAAGGCGGGUCUCUGGACAGUUCCUGACACUGAGGCACGAAGGCCAGGGGAGCAAACGGG